rnacentral:lncRNA from 1 species
UAGAUUCAACCCGAAAGUUGUCUUCUUCCUUGGAAUGUGAGCUCUUGGGGGGCAGGGUUGGUCCAUCGCCAAUGUGGCGUCUGACACACAGUAGGAGUUAGUCAAUCAAUGAACAGUUAUUAAACCUGAACUUUGUUCUAGGCAUUAGGCUACGGACCAGGGAUCCAAAGAGGUAAAAAAAAAAAAGAUCUGGCCUCACAGGAAGCUGGGGAUCCAUAGAGAUGGCAGGGUUGGGGGUAGGAGCCUAGAACAGGGGGUGUCAGGCUGGGAGGGGGCUAGAACAGGGGGUGUCAGGCUGGGAGGGGGCUAGAACAGGGGGUGUCAGGCUGGGAAUUCCCCUGGUCAUCUAGUACCACCCCUUCAUUUUACUGAUAGGGAAACUAAGGACCAGAGGACAGUGGAGAGAAGACUGAACAAGGGUCAGGAGAUCCAGGUUCAAAUUUCGACAGAACUUCUCUGCGUGACUCUAGAUGAGUCCUCUUCCCUCCUCCUCUCUCAGGCCUUCAUUGGGAUACUUGGGAAGCCACGAGGUCCCCUUGGCACUCUCCCUCUCUUCUGAAAUGGGGGAGCGCAGCCCGGAACACAACAGCCAGCACUUGGAGAGAAACUGACGGUAAGAACCACAGGCUCAUCCAUCGUGUUCUUAGAAUCACAUUAGCCUAGACUCUUGGAAUCCCACAGAGAGAGUCUUUGAAUUUGAGAAUCACUUGCUCAGAAUCAAAGAAACUUGGACUCUGUCUAGUCUUGGCAUGAUCAGCUCGUGAUACCAGAAUCACAGGCUUUGAAUCAGAGAAUCUCAGAAUUUUGGAAUCAUAGAAUGUUAGACUUCUUAGAUCAGCAAAUCUUAGAAUCUGAUUUUAGAAUUUGUUUCCCUCGAAUUUGACUUAGAAUCCUAGAAUCUAAGACCUGGAGAAUCUUCAUCUUUUUAACCGAUAAAUUUUAGCAGCUGAUACCCCCCAAUACAACCUACGAUAGAUACAUACUUGCUGGAAACUGUUAAACAAAUGAGAUAAAAGAAUGGUACCAACUGAGAAGGCACGGAACAGUGCCCAUUUUAAGGCACCCUCUGCUCAAGAAGAAAGCUGUGUGCUUUCCCUUGGAACAAGUGAUACCAGAGAUACCUGACGCUGCACUUCCUUUGGAUUCUGAAUUCUGUCAAUUUUGUCUGGCUAGAUAGAUGAGGUCAGACAGACAAAUAAAGAGAUAAUAGAGAUACA